rnacentral:rRNA from 1 species
UUGAAGAGUUUGAUCCUGGCUCAGCGCGAACGCUGGCGGCAUGGUUAAAACAUGCAAGUCGAGCGCGAAAGUCCCUUCGGGGGCGAGUAGAGCGGCGAAAGGGCGAGUAAUGCGUUCCUACGUACCCUCAGGUCAGGGAUAGCCCGGGGAAACCCGGAUUAAUACCUGAUGUGGUCCUUCGGGAUCAAAGGCUUGCCGCCUGAGGAGCGGGGAACGUCCUAUCAGGUUGUUGGUGAGGUAACGGCUCACCAAGCCGAAGACGGGUAGCGGGUGUGAGAGCAUGACCCGCCGCAUCGGGACUGAGACACUGCCCGGACUCCUACGGGAGGCUGCAGUAACGAAUCUUCCGCAAUGCGCGAAAGCGUGACGGAGCAAUGCCGCGUGCAGGAUGAAGCCCCUCGGGGUGUAAACUGCUGUCAGGGUUCAGCAACUCAAUGAGCAGACCCAAAGGAAGGGCCGGCUAACUUCGUGCCAGCAGCCGCGGUAAUACGAAGGGCCCGAGCGUUGCGCGGAAUCACUGGGCUUAAAGCGUGCGCAGGCGGACCAGCAGGCGUCUUGUGAAAGCCCUCGGCUCAACCGGGGAAUUGCAGGACGAACCGCUGGUCUUGAGGCAGGUAGGGGCCAUCGGAACGAUAGGUGGAGUGGUGAAAUGCGUUGAUAUCUAUCGGAACACCAAAGGUGAAAACAGGUGGCUGGGCCUGUCCUGACGCUCAUGCACGAAAGCGUGGGGAGCGAACGGGAUUAGAUACCCCGGUAGUCCACGCCGUAAACGAUGCACACUAGUUCGUGGGAUCUCUCAUGAUUUCGCGGACGAAGGUAAACUAGUUAGUGUGCCGCCUGGGGAGUACGGUCGCAAGGCUAAAACUCAAAGGAAUUGACGGGGGCUCACACAAGCGGUGGAGCAUGUUGCUUAAUUCGAGGCAACGCGAAGAACCUUACCUGGGCUUGACAUGUAUGGAUUAGCUCUUGGAAACAAGAGUGACGCCCUUGGGUGGAACAUACACAGGUGCUGCAUGGCUGUCGUCAGCUCGUGUCGUGAGAUGUUGGGUUAAGUCCCGCAACGAGCGCAACCCUCGCCCUUAGUUGCCAGCAUUUAGUUGGGCACUCUAGGGGGACUGCCGGUGAUAAGCCGGAGGAAGGUGGGGAUGACGUC